GUUUAAUAUACAUAUAUCUGGUUUGACAUGAAAGCCAUGUUUCUCCUGAACAAAAUGAUAUAUGAUAAGUGUGGGUGCACAUAAUAUGAAAGGUGUGAAUUAUGCCUGAGCAGACAUUUAGCGCAAAUUCAAGGUUUUGUUUACGUUUUGUUUUGAUCACAACUUGUAAAACUGCCUCAGUCCUUAAGGGGUUAAGCUAGAUAAAGUAUUUAAUAUCUAAUCCAACCUCGACAAAGAAGGUGUCUAACGAUACCUCUAGCAAUGAUGAUAAGUUACCACCAGAUUGAUGGUGUGUUUUACCUGUAUCAUCAGGUAAAACACACAAUCAAUUCUGAUGCUGUAGGGGUCAAUGUGAGCAGAAGACUAGUGAAAAGAACUUGGCCUCAGAGGACAGAGUGUUACUUCUUGCCAGGGACCAAUAGGCUUGGUAAUACAUGAUACAAUACUUCCCGAAUAUCCAACUUUUUACCAUUUCAAUUCUUGGGAAUGUACAC